UAAAUACUCCCUCCGUCCCAAAAUUCUUGUCUUAGAUUUGCCUAGAUACAGAUGUAUCUAAUACUAAAACGUGACUUGAUACAUCCGUAUUUAGACAAAUCUAAGACAAAAUAAUUAGGACGGAGGGAGUACAUG
rnacentral:pre_miRNA from 1 species